rnacentral:tRNA from 1 species
ACAUGGGUGCCAGAUGUGUUAUGGGUUAGUUUUAAGAGCUAGGUAAGGAAAUAUCCCCCGUGUU